AUUGAACGCUGGCGGCAGGCUUAACACAUGCAAGUCGAGCGGAGAUGAGGUGCUUGCACCUUAUCUUAGCGGCGGACGGGUGAGUAAUGCUUAGGAAUCUGCCUAUUAGUGGGGGACAACAUUCCGAAAGGAAUGCUAAUACCGCAUACGUCCUACGGGAGAAAGCAGGGGAUCUUCGGACCUUGCGCUAAUAGAUGAGCCUAAGUCGGAUUAGCUAGUUGGUGGGGUAAAGGCCUACCAAGGCGACGAUCUGUAGCGGGUCUGAGAGGAUGAUCCGCCACACUGGGACUGAGACACGGCCCAGACUCCUACGGGAGGCAGCAGUGGGGAAUAUUGGACAGCGGGGGGAACCCUGAUCCAGCCAUGCCGCGUGUGUGAAGAAGGCCUUAUGGUUGUAAAGCACUUUAAGCGAGGAGGAGGCUACUGAGACUAAUACUCUUGGAUAGUGGACGUUACUCGCAGAAUAAGCACCGGCUAACUCUGUGCCAGCAGCCGCCGUAACAC
rnacentral:rRNA from 1 species